ensembl:miRNA MIR125A microRNA 125a
UGCCGGCCUCUGCGUCCCUGAGACCCUUUAACCUGUGAGGACGUCCAGGGUCACAGGUGAGGUUCUUGGGAGCCUGGCGUCCGGCC